UGUAGAAGCUAAGCCAUGUAGCAGGCCUGGUUAGUACCUGGAUGGGAAACCACCGGGGAAUACCAGGGAUUUCUGGAU
rnacentral:rRNA from 1 species